GAAUGAUAACUUUUUUUGUGCUUGCUGUUUCACUAUAAUAUUGGGGCCAAAUGACCAGGAAGCACCAUUAACGUUAUAUUUAGUGAAAUUCUACACAAGGUUUAGUUGACCUAGGAUGGGUUUGGCUGGAAGUCUCUGCGUGGCCAGGCUCUGUACUUAGAGGUUGGGACCAGGUCUUUAUUUGUUUAUUCUGGAACCCAAACAGGGACAGUGACUGAUAUAUCAUAAAAGCCUAAGAAGUAAGCCAAAACAUGCAAGCACACUGAAGAUCUCUUUUCUGGUCAAUGUGUUGUACUUGCCAAAGCAAGUCUUAAAUUCAAGCCCAGUUUCAGUUGGGUGGGAUCAUAUACUGGAUCAUAUUCUCAUUCACAAUGGGUGGAGGAGGGAGGGAAUAUUUGCUGAGCAAAAUUAAUCUGAAUUAUUCCAGAGAUUCUAGUGUUUUUAGAUAAUUAAAUGAAUUAAUAUUUUGGCCUAGUAGGGCAGCACCUGACCCAAAACAUGGUAUGUAACAAUUUUCUUGGCCAGUCUCAGUGGCUCAUGCCUGUAAUCCCAGCACUUUGGGAGGCCAAGAGAGGAGGAUUGCUGGAGCCCAGGAGUUUGAAACCAGCCUGGGCAACAAAGUGAGACCUGUGUCUCUAUUUUUGAAAAAAUAAUUUGUACAUUAAAAUGCAUAAAUGAGUAAACCAGUGAUCACUUGUGAAUUAAAUAACUUUUCCAGUAAUAUCUAUUGCUAUAACUUUUUCUUAAAACCAUCUGAAGUAACUAACUAUAUGAUAACUUGGUAGAAGUAGAAAAGGAAAACCUUAUAAAUGUGUGGUAUGAAAAUUACACUGUGGUAGUAAGAAACUCCAGAAUAUUAAAUGCUUAUGUUUAUUCUCCUUAAAUACAAUUUUUAAAGCUAAAGUCAUAUGCCAAGUUCAUUUCAUCCUGCCUAAAAGAAAUGAAAGUUCAUUAUUGAAGAAUGUCAAUGAAGCAGAAGGUUGGAAUCUAACAAGCUGAAUAUCCAAAUUGAAAAUUUUUAAAGCUAUUGAUUAUAUAAGAGUGUUGGCAGGGAAUACAAAUCAGAGGGCAGUGCAGUCAUUCUGUACAUGGAGAGGUACCAUAUCAAAAGGUACCAAUUAUGUUUUUAGAUAAUUUGUAUAGUUUAUGUUUGGAACUCAAAGUUAAUAUGCUGAAAAUAAUGAAAAAGAAUAAAGUUAUGAGUAAUUCCCCCAAAUCUUGUGCUCAUUGUGAUAAUCACCAUUAAAUAGUAAAGUAUAUCCUUUAAAUACAAAUUUAUAUGAUAGAGUGUAUUUUGAUUUUAAUCAUUCUAUAAAGUCUGUGGUUCCUUCCAUGUAUAGCUAUGUUUCAUAUCUCUCAGUAAGGUAGCUACUCGGAGACAGUAAUCAUAAAUGGUUUUCUGAUGUACAACUAUCCACAAGCUGGUUUCCAUGUAUGGCUCAAGCAAUGAGACUCUGGAAACCCUGAAUGGAUAGAUUUUGUUUUCUCUAAGUACCUAAUAAAAAUUAAAUUAUUAAAGAAAUCUGCUUUCAAGAACUUUUGAUGAUCUCUUCUUUCUCCCAAUGUAAUCCAACCUUCCUAUUCAAACCACUCCCUGGAAUAACAUUUGAAACAUACCAAACAGUAGAAAUCCAAACAACAGAAGUUAGAUGUGGACGUUGCAGCCAGUAGAUGUUGCUGUUGAACAAUGUGACAGAGAACCACCUGCCAGGAGUGGGAAUAACAGAUUGGCACUUUGAUUUUAAUAGAUAUGAGGAUAUUCAUAAAUCCUUCCUCCAGAAAUGUCAGCCUUAGAGAUUUAAGGGUGUGAUAGUAAGAUUAUGGAGAAAAAGUCCAGCUGGAUGCAUGGAGCUGCUAUUGACUUAGACGGGGAUUCCAUGGCAGUGGUGUAGCAGGAUUUGAAGAAGAGAAGAAAGAGCAAAAGUUUAGGUUUUUUCCCCCACUGGUAACGGGUAUGUGUUAAUAAACCCAAAAAAAUGAAUAUUAAACAAUUGUAAUAACUGUGGUAUCCAUACAUUGCUCAUCUAACAUCUUCCCAUUAACCUAUUUAGAUCACUCUGUUAUUUUAAAAUAAUAUACAAAACUUCUUUAAGCAAUAGGAUUUGUACCUAAGCUAGUCCCUUUGAUUGGAAAAUGCUUUCUCAGUGGGUUUCCAAUGCCCUUCAUGAGAAAUUAUAAAAUACUUUUAAUGAGCUAUACAAAUCCAUUUAAGUUCUUGCUCAUAUCAUCCAACACAGAAUGUUCUCUUAGCAUUCCCUGUAUAUGUUGUAUUCUCUAGUUUUUCUGUAAAACAUUACAUCUUCCAAUAACUCAUCUCUCUAUUUGUCACUUAUAUGCUUUUGUACAUGGUGUUCCAGCUGCCCAUAAUGUCUUACUGUCAUACACUGUCCCUCAAUGUAUUAGCAUGUACACGUGUGUGUGUGUGUGUGUGUGCAUGUGCAUGCAUGCACACAUAUUAAUUUAUGUUGGGAUUUCCCAGAAGCAGAUUCUGAGAAAAGGAUAUGAGUGCAAGUAGUUUAUUUGUGUCCUCAAGAGGUAACUCAAUGCCUGUAAUAUAUUAGAUGAGAUACACCAUAUAUUUAUGAACCAAGAAUGAUAGCAUACUAUGGCAGCUAACAAUACCUUACUAACGUUUGCUUAGUGUACUUAUAUUAUUACUAAAGUGUUUUUACAUGUACCAUAUCAAUUAAACCAGUUGAAGUCAAUUUCCACCCUUUUAUUUAAGGAAAACUAAUAAAUUAAAAAUGAAAAUGUAGACAUUAUUUUGGAAAUUUCCAGCUAUGCAGCUCUGUUUCAAGAAAGCAGAAUUUGCUUGGCAAGUUUGUAGAAUUAGAGCAUAUUUAGCAUCAGUUUUUAUAUUCUUUAGGCUUAGUUUUACAAAACCAGAGAAAUCCCAGCUCCAUGUAGACCCAAGUCAACUAAUUGAGAAGAUAAUCUCCAGAAGACCCUGCAACAUCUCCUCUCAAUUGCUAGUUUAAGUGUUGAUGUUGUAUGAGGAAAAAUAGCUAAUGGAUGCUGGUCUUAAUACCUAGAUGAGGGGAAAAUCUGUGGCACUAAUCACCAUGGCACACGUUUAUGUAACAAACCUGCACAUCCUGCACAUGUACCCCUGAACUUGAAAUAAAAGUUGUAAAUAAAAAAUAAAAACGCUCCCAU